AACAAGGUCUCCGUAGGUGAACCUGCGGAGGGAUCAUU
rnacentral:rRNA from 18 species